AUCUGAAGACAGACUUGAACUAGGUACAUGUGUCCUCGCCGCAUGCUGUGUUCCCGGACACAGAAGAAAGAUCCCAGAAGAAGAUUCUUGAGGCUCAGAUGAUUCACAUGAAUCUCAGAAGACACGACAUGUGAGCUCCUCCCUGAGAUUACAAAAGCAGUGAUGAUGGCUGAGAGGGCAGAGCCUCUCCAGUGAGUCUGUUCACAGACGGUGGAAGGAGCUCCAAGAAUGCAGCUCUCAUGAACAUUCACCUAUGUCUCAGGCAGAACAGUGCAAGGCAGGAAUUCCAAGCAGAGAUAGAGAAGAAAAGUAGGAAGAGUCGAGGAGACACCAUGUAGCCACCAAAGGAGAAAGAUACCCCAGAACUUAACCGUCUCUUCCAGCUGUCACAUGUUUUGUCUGUGAGAAAGCUGAGACUUGCUUUGCGACCAUCUCGCAUCUUGCAUCUGUACCCAAAGGCUAUUUCUUGGAGUAUUGUCACACCAACAACAACAACAAAAAAUGUGGAAAGCUGCUUCUUGUUCAAUAGAACAUUCACGCUGCAAAAUGCACCAUGCGCUGAAGUUGCCUUUUGUGACAGAUAAUCCCGUUUGUCAGCUUGACACACUGGAGAAGAUGAGAGCUCAAGCGAGGAAUUCCCUCCCUCAGUGAUUCAGGACAUGGGACACAAUUCAGUGAUUCAGGACAUGGGACACAAUUCAGUGAUCCAGGACUUGGUACGCGUGUUCCACAUUAUAGUCUGCACCUAUACCGUUUAGAUCAUGUUCUCAGAUUGGGAAUGGUUUGGCCAACAUCUUCCUACUCUUCGACUGUUUAAGCGACUUUGUUAUUUGUGAGAGUUCACAUGUAAGGCUGGUCAUGUUGAUUUUGUAAGCAUUGGAAAGAGUUCAUAAGGAAGAGUGUGGUGGCUUGAAAGAAAAUGGUCCCCAAAGAGAAUGGCAUUAUUAGGAGAUGUGACCUUGUUGGAGGAAGUGUGGUCUUGUUGGAGGAAGUGUUCCCUGUGGGGCAGUCUUCGGGGUCUUUUUCUCAAGAUUCACUCAGUGUGCCAGUCAAUUGACUGCCUGCCUGUUGCCUGUAAGAUAAAGCACUCUCGGCUCGAACACCACGUUUGCCUGAAAACUGCCAUGUUCCUCAUCAAGAUCAUAAUGGACUGAAUCGCUGAAACUGUAAACGAGCUACCCUCAAUUAAAUAUUUUCUUCGUAAGAA